rnacentral:rRNA from 1 species
GACGAACGCUGGCGGCGUGCUUAACACAUGCAAGUCGAACGGAAAGGCCCUGCUUUUGUGGGGUGCUCUAGUGGCGAACGGGUGAGUAACACGUGAGUAACCUGCCCUUGACUUUGGGAUAACUUCAGGAAACUGGGGCUAAUACCGGAUAGGAGCUCCUGCUGCAUGGUGGGGGUUGGAAAGUUUCGGCGGUUGGGGAUGGACUCGCGGCUUAUCAGCUUGUUGGUGGGGUAGUGGCUUACCAAGGCUUUGACGGGUAGCCGGCCUGAGAGGGUGACCGGCCACAUUGGGACUGAGAUACGGCCCAGACUCCUACGGGAGGCAGCAGUGGGGAAUAUUGCACAAUGGGCGGAAACCUGAUGCAGCAACGCCGCGUGCGGGAUGACGGCCUUCGGGUUGUAAACCGCUUUCGCCUGUGACGAAGCGUGAGUGACGGUAAUGGGUAAAGAAGCACCGGCUAACUACGUG